UCCGUGCAAGUCGCUAGCUGGCUAAAGAGAGGUGCUUCACAGCUUCAGGUCUGGGAGGCUCGAGAACAGCUACCAUUCCGUCUCUGCAGAGUUUGUGUGUUCUUCCCUUACUCCACAUGUUUUGCACUACUGAAGCUUUUGUCGCCUCCCUAAACUCUGGAAAGAAUGCUGAACAGCCAUCACAUCGCAAUGCGGUGAUCGUAUGACGGUGAAUUCUUGACUAUUACCAACUCACGUGAGGGUUUAAAAGGGUCUCUUUCUUGGAUGCUUACUCCAAAAAGCUUGACGGUGUACAUCACUGGAGAGAAGCUCUGGCUCUGGCUGUAUUCUCCAGCAAGAUAAGUACCCACUUAUUAAGCACUGAAAUAUGCAUUGCCGUAUAAAUUAAAACAGCAUAUUGAUAUUAAAUGUUUAAAUUAUGAUAGAAACUCUGCAAGCCUCUCUGUAUAAGGAAUCGAGCAGAGAUCUGAGCCAGGAUGUUUGCAUUUUGAGGGCCUAGCUUACAGUCCUAUUGAAGGCACCGUAGAGUUCAUUUUGGGAUGUUGUUAUAGAAACAGUUUCCCUGGCUGCCAUUGUUGUUUCAUCUAAUUGCUCAUUAAUGAUCGACUUGCACACUCGCCACAUCGAAGCUCAUCUGGUGACGAUACGAGUCAGAAUCAGUCGCCCGUGAAGCAAUUAGCCGUUAGCUCGGUGCUUCGUGAAGAUUUGGUCUUGCUCCAACUUUUUGGUUUUCUACCCUAAUUCCCUGCCAAUGAAGCUGCUUCUGUGUCAACUAUAGGGCCUUCAAAGGAGUAACACUGAAUGCCCUAUGAACCAACUGGUAUAGAGGUGGAUAGUUCAGGUCCAGAAAGCAAGACUCCAGACCAGCAUUUUGUUUCAACCAACCAGUUCAGUAUAAAGAGGCACAGUUAAAGUGUACUUAACUGGUUGGUUGAAAUUUUACUUUCUGGACCUGAACUACGCACGUCUGAACUGGUACAACCAUAAAAGCAUGGAAAGAAAAGAUUUACACAAACAAACCAAAUUGAUAUCAUAGCAGUUUUAACUAAAAUAUAGGAACAAACUCAUUAUCCAAUCAGAGAACGUUAUUUGUUGUUGAGAUGUUUUGAUAUAAUGGAAAAUUCCUCAAAAGACUUUGGUUCCACGGCUGUUAUGAUUGAUUCAAGAAUAAUGGUUCAAGAUAGACAAGAAAAAUGCAAUGUUUCAGGUUAAAAGUUGUCCUCAAAGAAAUGAUUAGGAUGCUUAAUGCUUUUAUCCUGAAAGUAAGUCAGUUGGGGAUUAUUGACUUAUUAUAUACUAAAGAAAUUCCAAUUGCUGCAAGGAAAGAAAUGUAAUUCUCUCAGUUGGGUCAGAUGUAAAGCAAAAUGCCAGAUCAGUUAUAUUCAAGAAAAAAAAUUAAGAGGCAAUUUAGAUUGGUCUAUGGUGCAAAUAGACUGUAUAUAGCAUGUUGAGAAAUAUAGAGCCAAAAGUUUAGCAUACAAUAGUUGUCCUGUCGCUAUAAUGUGAUGGGUAUUUGAUGGGUAUUUGAUGAAUUCUCGACCUUUGGCUGUGAUUAGCCGUGCGUUUAAAGAAGACGGAAAACUUUUAAGUGUGUUGAGAGGUGGAAGGG